UUCUUUACCUGCCAAAGCCACCACAGAAGCCUGACUUCUUGCCCAAAUGUAUACGUGAGAAGCAUCAGGUUGUCUGGCAGAACUUGCCAUGAGGAUGGAAGAACUUAACACUCUCUGAUGUAACCACCAGGCACGUGGCUGGUGACCUGUAGUGUGUUCCCAAGGAGAGGAAGUUGUGUCGGAUCCUGUUUAGGACCUGGUGACUGUGCGACAAGAUGAUGUCACUUGCCUCCUGUAAUGUUGAGAUCUAUAGCAUAGCAUCGGCACCAGGGGCGGUGGAGGGGAGCUUUCCUGGAAAAGUGGCUGGGGAUUUGAUCCCUUUUUCCAUGUCACCAGGCAGAUCUUGCUUCUCUGGGAACCACUGUGAAUGACUCAAGUACAAAAGUGCAAAUCAAAGCCCCCAACCCUUUGAGACUUUCACAUUUUGAACCAGCAACAGCAGCAGCCCUGGCUGCACCAACGGCGCCAGUGUGACUGUUGGGAUUCAAACUGCCACCAGAGCCCCAGCAGGCAGGAUUCUCUGACCUCACGCACGACGCCAGGACGUUCCAGCUCAAACUCAUGCCCAGCAACUGUAAGAUCCUCCAGGACAGUUUCUUCUUCCCAGUAAAACCCCCAUAGAUGUGCAUUUGCUUUAAAAAAUCAAUUUUAUUUAGGUUUAAUUUACCUAUUAAAGCACAUCUCUGUAUCUAUACAUUUGGUGACAUAUUUAUAUACCUGUAUAGUCUGUGUCACGAUCAAUAGAAAAAACAUUUACAUCAUCCUAAAAUGUUCCUGUUCCCUUUCUCAGUCUUCCAUCCCUGACUGAUCUGCUUCCUGUUGAUAGGUCUGUCUUUCUUAUAGUUUCAUAUAAAUGAAAUCUUUUAUGUCAUGCCUCUUGCACUCAGCAUAAGAGUGUUGAGAUACAUCCAUGCAAUUGCAUGUAUCACAGGUCAAUUCUUUUUGAGGUAUAGCUGAUGUAUAAUAUCAUGUAAGUUACAAGUGUACAAUAGUGAUUCCUAAUUUUAAAGGUUAUACUCCGUUUAUAAUUAUUAUAAAAUAUUGGCUAUGUUCCCUGUGUUGCACAAUAUGUCCUUGUAGCGUAUUUCUUUUAUACACAGUAUUUUAUACCUCUUAAUCUCCUACCUAUGUCUUGCCCCUCCCCCUUACCCCUUCCCACUGGUAGCCACUAUUCUCUGUAUCUGUGAGGCUGUUUCUUUUUUGUUAUGUUCACUGGUUUGUUAUACCUUUUGGAUUCCACAUAUAAGUGAUACACUAUUUGUCUUUCUCUGAUGUUUCACUUAGCAUAAUACUGUCCAAGUCCAUCCAUGCUGUUACAGGUCAUUUUUAUUGUUGCUGAGUAGUUUUCAAUUAUAUGGAUAUACUUCAAUUUAUCUAUUUUCCUAUUAAUGGACAGUUGCAUGGUUUCUACUUUUUAUUACUAUGAAUAAAGUUGCCAUAAUAUCUA